AAUAAAUUAGUUUAUAAAAAUAUUAGUUUGUCAGGCUAAAGAAGAAAGAUUCCUCAAUUAAUACCUUUGAAUUGAUUAUUU
rnacentral:tRNA from 1 species